rnacentral:lncRNA from 1 species
GAAAUUCACUCUCUCACGUCUGACAGCAAGGCUGCUGUGUGCUGAGACCGUCGCUGGGGCUGACAGCCGCUUUAUGUGUUCUCUUCACAUAAGCCAGCUUGAGCUUCUUGAAAACAUGAUGGAUAGCUUUCCAAGGACAUUGAGAUAUGCUACAAUUCUCUAUGGAGUUCUAAAUCAGAAUUUUGGGUGAUCACAAAAAGGAAAAAGGACCACAGUUACUACGUUACAAAGUUCAGAAUCUGGAAGCAGCUUAUUUUUCGUCUUUGAAAUAUGAGACAAGAUCUAUUUAUCUAUAUAAACAGACUUUGUACUGAUUUAAUAAAGAUUCUAUUGACAUAUAUG